rnacentral:rRNA from 1 species
CGUAGGUGGCAAGCGUUGUCCGGAAUUAUUGGGCGUAAAGCGCGCGCAGGUGGUUUCUUAAGUCUGAUGUGAAAGCCCACGGCUCAACCGUGGAAGGUCAUUGGAAACUGGGAAACUUGAGUGCAGAAGAGGAUAGUGGAAUUCCAAGUGUAGCGGUGAAAUGCGUAGAGAUUUGGAGGAACACCAGUGGCGAAGGCGACUAUCUGGUCUGUAACUGACACUGAGGCGCGAAAGCGUGGGAGCAAACAGGAUU